CAACAACAACCGUUGUUUACUCGGUUGAGAAUAGGACAUACAGGUUAAAACUAUACCCUGCACUGAAGAGGGAAACACCCAACAGGUCCACCAUCCACUCAUAUAGGUGGCGGUAAUGCACUUGUAAGUGUGGUUUGCCAACCACCAUUAACCUCCAACGAAGAAGAAGCUAGAGCAGGGAUGCUUCAGCGUUUACUUACCAUAACGACGGCAGUUCAAACGGAGGUGAGGUGGUCUGCCGUAAACUGGACUAACCGAUAGAAGGACCUGAGGCGUCGUUGCACUUUUUUGGGUGAAUUAAAUUUUUCCUGCAGAUGACCCUGAUGCAGCAACACAACUAAACCAGGAUUGGAAACCUGUCCCAUCAUCUCAUCUUUGUAAAUCUCCAACUCGAAGGCGCUGCCCUCAAAUUCAGACUUCAGCACGAUCCAGUGACAGCGGACAAAUCUUCCCAUAUUUUAACCGUUAAUGCUGAAUACACUCAUUUAAUAUUGUAGUGAAUUUGCUGUAAAUCCAAAAUUAACUGAUAAAAAAGGACAAAAGCUGUUUCAAUGAGAAAGUUAAAGACCAAAAAAAAAAAAGAAUCAAGCAUCUAGGCUUGCAGACUGCUUCUACAAACAUUUGUAAGGAAUGGGUCGCUCUCAGGAGCUCAGUGAAUUCCAGCGUGGUACCGUGAUAGGAUGCCAUCUGUCCAGCAGGUCUAGUCGUGAAAUUUCCUCGCUACUAAAUAUUCCACAGUCAACUGUUAGUAGUAUUAUAACAAAGUGGAAGCGAUUGGGAACGACAGCAACUCAGCCACGAAGUGGGAGGCCACGUAAAAUCACAAAACGAGGGAAGCGGAUGCUGAAGCACAUACUGCGCAGAGGUAGCCAACUUUCUGCAGAGUCAAUUGCUACAGACCUCCAAACCGCAUGUGGCCUUCAGAUCAGCUCAAGAACAGUGCGUAGAGAGCUUCAUGGAAUGGGUUUCUAUGGCCGUGCAGCUGCACCCAAGCCUUACAUCACCAACCGUAAUGCAAAGCGCCGGAUGCAGUGGUGUAAAGCACACCGCCACUGGACUCUAGAGCAGUGGAAACGUAUUCUCUGGAGUGGUGAAUCAUGCUUCUCUGUCUGGCAAUCUGAUGGACAAGUCUGGGUUUGGCGGUUGCCAGGAGAACAGUACUUGUCUGACUGUAUUGUACCCAGUGUGAAGUUUGGUGGAGGGGGAGUUAUGGUGUGGGGUUGUUUUUCAGGAGUUGGGCUUGGCCCCUUAGUUCCAGUGAAAGAAACUCUUAAUGCUUCAGCAUACCAAGACAUUUUGGACAAUUUUAUGCUCCCAACUUUGUGGGAACAGUUUGGGGAUAGCCCAUUCCUGCUCCAACAUGACUGCACCCCAGUGCACAAAUCAAGGUCCAUAAAGACAUGGAUGAAUGAGUUUGGUGUAGAAGAACUUGACUGGCCUGCACAGAGCCCUGACCUCAACCCAAUAGAACACCUGUGGGAUGAGUUAGAGCGGAGACUGCGAGCCAGGCCGACAUCAGUGUCUGACCUCACAAAUGCACUUCUGGAAGAAUGGUCAGAAAUUCCCUUAAACACACUCCUAAACUUUGUGGAAAGCCUUCCCAGAAGAAUUGAAGCUGUUAUAGCUGCAAAGGGUGGGCCAACUUCAUAUUAAACCCAAUGGAUUAAGAAUGGGAUGGGACUCAAGUUCAUAUGUGUGUGAAGGCAAAUAGCUUUGGCAAUAAUAGUGUACAGGGAGUGCAGAAUUAUUAGGCAAGUUGUAUUUUUGAGGAAUAAUUUUAUUAUUGAACAACAACCAUGUUCACAAUGAACCCAAAAAACUCAUUAAUAUCAAAGCUGAAUG